rnacentral:rRNA from 1 species
UACGGAGGGUGCAAGCGUUAUCCGGAUUCACUGGGUUUAAAGGGUGCGUAGGCGGCGGGGUAAGUCAGGUGUGAAAUCCCGGAGCUUAACUCCGGAACUGCACUUGAUACUGCCUUGCUCGAGUACUGGAGAGGAGACUGGAAUUUACGGUGUAGCAGUGAAAUGCGUAGAUAUCGUAAGGAAGACCAGUGGCGAAGGCGAGUCUCUGGACAGUUACUGACGCUGAGGCACGAAGGCCAGGGGAGCAAACGGG